AUUAAUUGCUAUCCCCUCUCUCCCUCAUCAUCACCUAGGGGUUCCGGCAAACUCGCAGGAGAUGCUCAUCCCCAGGGGCUCCGAUGAACCCGCUGGAGACUCACGACGCCGGAUCCCCCACUCCCCUGCCCCACCCGAUGACACUAAAUCAAGCUAUGAUUUGGGCUACCGCCAACCCGUCAUCGGCUGGGCAUAGCCACGAUUUGGUUCUACUCCACCGGGUGGGGCUCGUCCACUGCCGCAGCCGCCCAGUUGGAGCCAUUGGCUAUCCGCUCAACCUUUGGCAGAAACCAGGCGGCGCAAUCGGGGAAGACGCGGCCGCAUGUGUAUGCCAGGAUCCUUGCACGGAUGAAGAUCCGCAGAGAUGGAGGAUAUCACAUCAGCUAGGGAGGUGACCGCAAUGCGCCUCUCUUGUAGAUCAGGGGUGGUAACUGGUGGACAGGAGAGGCAUAUGGCUGUCGCAGAGGUGCUCCUGAGAAUAGUGCUACAUUGGAACAUGUCGAACAAUGAGCUUAUGCCACAGCAUGACCACAUGGUGGUGAAUGUUGUGGCAUUGCCUCUAAGAUUUUUUUGUGAUGCGUGAUCAGCCUCAUGUCACAUGUUAUUUUGAAUGUUUUAAACAUAAACACAUCACAUGUAUUUUUUAGCAUAAACACAAGUCUAAUUCUUGGAUUUUUUUAAUUUAUUUA